CCAGAAUUGAGGGGAUCUCACGACAAAAGAUGCCAAAAGGGAGCUAUGUCCUGACAUGCCCUGACUAUUAUCAGCCCAAAGGGAUCAAUAAACACCUCUGGAUGAGCACAAAUCCUAUUCUCCUUCUCCAGCUUCUCCUCUCUGCAUGGUCACUAGAGGAACUAACCCACCAUGAAUAACCAAAGGGAAGUAACAGGAGAUCUUUGUUAUUGCUCAGAAGGGAGGCACCGGUAGAAGAUGAAAGGAUAAACAAAAUGUGACAUAUACGUAUACACAAUAUAUAUUCAGCUUUAAAAAGGAAGGACAUUCUGAUAUAUGCUACAACAUGGACAAAAAUCCUGAGGAUGCAGUGCUGUGUGAAACAACCAAGCACAAAAGGACUGUCUAACUUGAUAUGAAGAUGUUAAACCAAAGUAAUUAAAUCAAUUUAU